rnacentral:rRNA from 1 species
ACUCAAAUGAAUUGACGGGGGCCCGCACAAGCGGUGGAGCAUGUGGUUCAAUUCGAAGCAACGCGAAGAACCUUACCAGGCCUUGACAUCCCGAUCGCGGGUCCCUGAAAGGGGACCUUUCAGUUCGGCUGGAUCGGUGACAGGUGCUGCAUGGCUGUCGUCAGCUCGUGUCGUGAGAUGUUGGGUUAAGUCCCGCAACGAGCGCAACCCUCGCCCUUAGUUGCCAUCAUUUAGUUGGGCACUCUAAGGGGACUGCCGGUGAUAAGCCGCGAGGAAGGUGGGGAUGACGUCAAGUCCUCAUGGCCCUUACGGCCUGGGCUACACACGUGCUACAAUGGCGGUGACAAUGGGCAGCAAACCCGCAAGGGGGAGCUAAUCUCAAAAAGCCGUCUCAGUUCGGAUUGGAGUCUGCAACUCGACUCCAUGAAGUUGGAAUCGCUAGUAAUCGUGGAUCAGCACGCCACGGUGAAUACGUUCCCGGGCCUUGUACACACCGCCCGU